CCGCAUGGCCCCCCCCCGCCGCAGAAGACCCAGCCCUUUUCCUGGGCUCCGCUCCUGAGACUUUCACCUUUGUUUGCUCUGGGAAUAAACACAGGUAGAUGAUGCCAGCUGUAUUAGCAGCCAGGCCCCAGGAAUCAGUGACUUUUGAGGAUGUGGCCGUGUGCAGGAA